CGGACGGGUGAGUAAUGUAUGGGGGUCUGCCUGAUGGCGGGGGAUAACUACUGGAAACGGUAGCUAAUACCGCAUAAUGUCUGCGGACCAAAGCGGGGGACCUCCGGGCCUCGCGCCAUCAGAUGAACCCAUAUGGGAUUAGCUAGUAGGUAAGGUAACGGCUUACCUAGGCGACGAUCCCUAGCUGGUCUGAGAGGAUGAUCAGCCACACUGGGACUGAGACACGGCCCAG
rnacentral:rRNA from 1 species